UACGAAGGGUGCAAGCGUUAAUCGGAAUUAUUGGGCGUAAAGCGCUCGCAGGUGGUCCGUCGCGUCGUGCGUGAAAGACCCCGGCUCAACUGGGGAGGGUCGUGCGAUACGGGCGGACUGGAGGCCAGUAGGGGGAUGCGGAAUUCCGGGUGUAGUGGUGGAAUGCGUAGAGAUCCGGAGGAACACCAGCGGCGAAGGCGGCAUCCUGGACUGGUCCUGACACUCAUGAGCGAAAGCGUGGGGAGCGAUCCGG
rnacentral:rRNA from 1 species